CAGGCCUAACACAUGCAAGUCGAGCGGACCUUUCGGGGUCAGCGGCGGACGGGUGAGUAACGCGUGGGAACGUGCCUUCCGGUUCGGAAUAACCCUGGGAAACUAGGGCUAAUACCGGAUACGCCCUUAUGGGGAAAGGUUUACUGCCGGAAGAUCGGCCCGCGUCUGAUUAGCUAGUUGGUGGGGUAACGGCCUACCAAGGCGACGAUCAGUAGCUGGUCUGAGAGGAUGAUCAGCCACACUGGGACUGAGACACGGCCCAGACUCCUACGGGAGGCAGCAGUGGGGAAUAUUGGACAAUGGGCGCAAGCCUGAUCCAGCCAUGCCGCGUGAGUGAUGAAGGCCUUAGGGUUGUAAAGCUCUUUUAUCCGGGACGAUAAUGACGGUACCGGAGGAGCAAGCCCCGGCUAACUUCNUGCCAGCAGCCGCGGUAAUAC
rnacentral:rRNA from 1 species